rnacentral:rRNA from 1 species
ACGAACGCUGGCGGCGCGCCUAACACAUGCAAGUCGAACGAGAGAUGAGGAGCUUGCUCUUCAAAUCGAGUGGCGAACGGGUGAGUAACGCGUGAGGAACCUGCCUCAAAGAGGGGGACAACAGUUGGAAACGACUGCUAAUACCGCAUAAGCCCACGGCUCGGCAUCGAGCAGAGGGAAAAGGAGUGAUCCGCUUUGAGAUGGCCUCGCGUCCGAUUAGCUGGUUGGUGAGGUAACGGCCCACCAAGGCGACGAUCGGUAGCCGGACUGAGAGGUUGAACGGCCACAUUGGGACUGAGACACGGCCCAGACUCCUACGGGAGGCAGCAGUGGGGAAUAUUGCACAAUGGGGGAAACCCUGAUGCAGCGACGCCGCGUGGAGGAAGAAGGUCUUCGGAUUGUAAACUCCUGUUGUUGAGGAAGAUAAUGACGGUACUCAACAAGGAAGUGACGGCUAACUACGUGCCAGCAGCCGCGGUAAAACGUAGGUCACAAGCGUUGUCCGGAAUUACUGGGUGUAAAGGGAGCGCAGGCGGGAGAACAAGUUGGAAGUGAAAUCCAUGGGCUCAACCCAUGAACUGCUUUCAAAACUGUUUUUCUUGAGUAGUGCAGAGGUAGGCGGAAUUCCCGGUGUAGCGGUGGAAUGCGUAGAUAUCGGGAGGAACACCAGUGGCGAAGGCGGCCUACUGGGCACCAACUGACGCUGAGGCUCGAAAGUGUGGGUAGCAAACAGGAUUAGAUACCCUGGUAGUCCACGCCGUAAACGAUGAGUGCUAGGUGUUGGAUCCUUUCCGGGAUUCAGUGCCGCAGCUAACGCAUUAAGCACUCCGCCUGGGGAGUACGACCGCAAGGUUGAAACUCAAAGGAAUUGACGGGGGCCCGCACAAGCAGUGGAGUAUGUGGUUUAAUUCGACGCAACGCGAAGAACCUUACCAAGUCUUGACAUCCCUUGACGAACAUAGAAAUAUGUUUUCUCUUCGGAGCAAGGAGACAGGUGGUGCAUGGUUGUCGUCAGCUCGUGUCGUGAGAUGUUGGGUUAAGUCCCGCAACGAGCGCAACCCUUGCUAUUAGUUGCUACGCAAGAGCACUCUAAUAGGACUGCCGUUGACAAAACGGAGGAAGGUGGGGAUGACGUCAAAUCAUCAUGCCCUUUAUGACUUGGGCUACACACGUACUACAAUGGCGUUAAACAAAGAGAAGCAAGACCGCGAGGUGGAGCAAAACUCAGAAACAACGUCCCAGUUCGGACUGCGGGCUGCAACUCGCCUGCACGAAGUCGGAAUUGCUAGUAAUCGUGGAUCAGCAUGCCACGGUGAAUACGUUCCCGGGCCUUGUACACACCGCCCGUCACACCAUGAGAGCCGGGGGGACCCGAAGUCGGUAGUCUAACCGCAAGGAGGACGCCGCCGAAGGUAAAACUGGUGAUUGGGGUG